CUUGUUAUCAAACAUGCAUUGUUCUGAAUAAAAAUAUGUUGUUAUAAGCUUAAUAUCUGAUACGUCCUCUACAUGGGGACCAGAAUAUUAAACUGAUGUUUGAACAUUGGCGGGGUUACUGGAGCUUGCUCCUGCCCUGUCGCGGGUUGGCCUGGCAUUGCACUACAGCCAGGAGCGGCCCAUUUUAU
rnacentral:snRNA from 1 species